AACAACCUUUUUUUUUUAAAUUAAAAUUAGAAUGAUAUAUAAAAGAUUAGCAUGGCCCCUGCACAAUGAUUUUCUCUGAUGAAGGCCUCCUAUAUUA
rnacentral:snRNA from 1 species